rnacentral:rRNA from 1 species
UACGAAGGGUGCAAACGUUGCUCGGAAUUAUUGGGCGUAAAGAGCGUGUAGGUGGCUGAGUAAGUCGAACGUGAAAUCCCUGGGCUCAACCCAGGAACUGCGUCCGAGACUGAAAGGCUUGAAUCCGGGAGAGGGAUGUGGAAUUCCAGGUGUGAGCGGUGAAAUGCGUAGAUAUCUGGAGGAACAUCGGUGGCGAAGGCGGCAUCCUGGACCGGUAUUGACGCUGAGGCGCGAAAGCCAGGGGAGCAAACGGG